AGCAGCUGCUCAAACUUGAGUAAAUUCCAGCAAAAAGCAACAUAUUGACAAUCUUGGUAAACCUGACCAACUUCUUUAUGUUUUUUUUCCUUUGAUAACAGUGGUGUCGGAGCCAGCUUUGACACACCUCCGAUCAGCAACAAGCAACAGACAUCAGAUGUGAGAUUUCUUUUGGAUGGAGUUUAAGAAGAUUCAAAUGAGUUACCUUUGUUAGAAAUAACAUCUCCCACCAGCAACAAGCAACAUAUAUCAGGGUUAAAAUGGUUAUCCAACUUUACAUUUUGAAGUUUCGCAACACUUGACAUUCGAAAAUUCUAAGAAUCUCUAUAAUUUACACCGAAAAUUCUCUAGCACUUGAGACGUACCCUGAUCAAAAAUCAUCACCAGUCGAGGUUAGUGUAUGUAGUUUCGCUGCACCUGCUGCUCUGAUGAAUCCCAAAUUUGUUGGUAAGAUGGGAGCCAAUAGCCCAUCAUCACGCAGCACUUCUAGUGGAUUGUCCAGUUUGGUAGGCAGUUACCCUAAAUCAAAGCGGUCUGGUAACCUCAAACGAUAGAAUCUCAAGCAUGCCCUGUGUAUUGAGAAGUGCUAAUUUUUACCUUUGUUCAAAAAUUGGUGAGAAGUGCCAAUUUGCUGAUGCUUAGGUAUUCUGCAUUUUCAGCCUUGUUACUUUAGCUUUUUGUGUUUUCAUCAAUCAUAUGACAUGAUAUGGCUUUCUUGUUUCUAUUUUAGCUCUUAUCAUGUACUGCUAUCUAGGGAUGACUCCCUCUGCUUGAUUUUACGUGUUUUACUUUCAUUUUUAGUCAGUUCUAA